rnacentral:rRNA from 1 species
GACGAACGCUGGCGGCGUGCUUAACACAUGCAAGUCGAACGGAAAGGCCCUUCGGGGUACUCGAGUGGCGAACGGGUGAGUAACACGUGGGUGAUCUGCCCUGCACUUUGGGAUAAGCCUGGGAAACUGGGUCUAAUACCGAAUAGGACUACGCUCUUCAUGGGGUGUGGUGGAAAGCUUUUGCGGUGUGGGAUGGGCCCGCGGCCUAUCAGCUUGUUGGUGGGGUAAUGGCCUACCAAGGCGACGACGGGUAGCCGGCCUGAGAGGGUGACCGGCCACACUGGGACUGAGAUACGGCCCAGACUCCUACGGGAGGCAGCAGUGGGGAAUAUUGCACAAUGGGCGCAAGCCUGAUGCAGCGACGCCGCGUGAGUGAAGAAGGCCCUCGGGUUGUAAAGCUCUUUUGUCCGGAAAGAAAAGCAAUCGGUUAAUACCCGGUUGUUCUGACGGUACCGGAAGAAUAAGCACCGGCUAACUUCGUG